CGUAGGUGAACCUGCGGAAGGAUCAUUAGUGAAUAUUAGGACGUUCAAUUUAACUUGAAGUCCGAACUCUCACUUUCUAACCCUGUGCAUUUGUUUUGGCUAGUAGGAUAUUUCGGUAUCCGAACACCUCUUCAUUUACAAACACUAAGUCUAUGAAUGUUUAAAUUUUAUAACAAAAUAAAACUUUCAACAACGGAUCUCUUGGCUCUCGCAUCGAUGAAGAACGCAGCGAAAUGUGAUAAGUAAUGUGAAUUGCAGAAUUCAGUGAAUCAUCGAAUCUUUGAACGCAUCUUGCACUCUUUGGUAUUCCGAAGAGUAUGUCUGUUUGAGUGUCAUGAAUUCUUCAACCCUCCCUUUUCUUAGUGAAUUGAGAGGUGUUUGGAUUCUGAGUGUUGCUCCUAACCCGAGCUCAUUCGUAAUGCAUUAGCAUCCAUAUUCGAAUUUCGGAUUGACUUGGCGUAAUAGACUAUUCGCUGAGGAAUCUAACUUCGGUUAGAGCCGUGUUUGAACUAGGAAGCUACUAAUCUAGCUUAGUCUACCUUAAGAUUAGAUCUCAAAUCAGGCAGGAUUACCCGCUGAACUUAAGCAUAUCAAUAAG
rnacentral:misc_RNA from 1 species